UCUAUCCCUCUCCUAAACCCUUCUUCCACCUCCAUCACUCCCCGCUCUGCAAGAAGCAAGCUAGCUGAGAAACGCUCCGCCCACCAAAAAUGGUGCAUAAAGCUUGGAGAAUUAUACCAAGGCCCUUGCUCGAAACGGUCCUCAACAACCAUUCACAGCACCACCGCGUUCCUCAACCUCUGAUCCUCCAUGGCCCCAGAGGCGUCGGCAAAACCACUCUCAUUCUCGAGCGUCUUCUCCCCGAUUGGAACAAAUGCCCCCACUUAUCUGGAUAUGUGGAUUUUGCUGAAACUAUCGAAGAUCAUCACCCAGUCUAUGGUCAGUCGUUUCCGUGGGCGUCGUGGUCGAAUUGUCCGUCGCCAUCAUUGUCUAAUUGCAGAAUUAAACUCGAGAGUUGCCUCGAAUCGAUGGCCGAAAAGGGCGUAAAACUAGGCGGUAUAACCUCCCAUCAAAUAUUCGCCACCAUGAACAAGUGGCACGGCCUGAAUACCGCCCUUCGCCGCGUACUUCAGGGGGAUAAUGCAUCGAAAAGUGUAGUUUCGCGCAGAGCGUCAAGCUCGGCUCUGUGGGAUCAAGCAGUUUUUGCACUAUCUGCUCGAUGUAAUGCCGCUGAGGUCGAUGGGGUUUUAGGCCUGGGCGACGAAGGGAGGAGUUUAUCGAUUGAGGAGGCUUCUUAUUUUAGAGAGGCGUUUGUGGCGCUGAGACUAGCUAAGGAGGUGAUCAAAAUUCAGCAAGGGUGGCGAGCUAAUGCCAUUGCUGAUUUGAAUCGGAUGCGUGGUUUCUCGCCGUCGCUGGCACAUUCCUGUACCGAUUGGCCUUGUUUGUUGAUAGAGUUGCUGUCACAAGCAGCUGAAAUUGAUCAUUUUCAGCCAAAACUAAUUAUUAACAACAUAGAAGUCUUACGAAAUGCAAGCGUGUCAGAUGAUGAUUCAUCAGUCUGUGGCUCAAUGUAUCAUGACAGUCUGGUGUGGAGAAUGAUUGCUCUAGGGGCAAAUGAAAGAUGUCUUCCUGUUAUACUCGUAACGUCGGAUAGCUACUAUUCAUAUCGCGCAUACAUGGAUUUUGGAUUUCCAGACAUAUUUAUCUCGCGUGAGACUUUUGGAUGGACUUAUCAAGAGGCUAAACUACAUAUGGUUCCUGAUUAUUUCAGCAAUGCGGAGUGGAAGCUGAUUGCGGAGGUGCUUGGUCCAAACCCUCGACAUUUAUUUGAGCUUUAUGCUCUGAAACAAGGCAAUUUUUAUAAAAGAACGGCAACGGAUCAUAAUUUUGGCACAAUCGAGGAUAUAGUGGAUGCAUACUUGGCAUACUUGCAAGUGACAGUGGUAAAUCCUGCCAUGGAUAGAGCAUUAGCACUCCUGCAAGCAUUUGCUGUUGAUGCACGAAAUGGACUGGUUUCGAAAGAUAGAUUGCGCUUUGGUGCACCUUGGAGGCAUCCUCCUAAAAGUAAUGAUCCACGCUUGAGCUUGGACUGGGCAAAGAUUCAGCUGAUGGAUUUUGUGCAAUGUCUCGUGGAUGCAGAAUUUGGGGUUAACUAUCUUGCUGACUGCAGCCUUGAGAUCUUUGAUGAUCCUUCUGCUGUUGCCUUGGUUGAGGUCGGUUUGCUUUAUGCUCAACGGGAUCCAUCCUUCAUGCGGCCAAUAUCUAGAGGGAUUCAAAGAUGUCUAGUGCGAUGGCUUGUCCAACAGCAAUUUCAACUAAGUUCAAGGCAUCGUCUUCUGUAUCUCUCGCAAAGAAUUAUACGUGGACGUAGCUAUCGCCAUCUGAUGCUAGAAGUGGGAUAUAAAUAGACCAUGUAACAAGGCAUGGGUAGAUUUAGGGACUGACUCAACAAUUUCAAUAUAAGGAACAGGAGCUUGCAGGCGCAGCUGUGAUACUAAAGUGUGGAGUUCGUAUUCCAUUUUAGAAGUGGAAGGUUUUUACAUAAAACUUCUGUGUAUUCAAGAAUUUUUAGAAUCGUAGAUAAAAUUAUUUGUAGACAGAUCUAUAAUGGGGACA